rnacentral:rRNA from 1 species
UACGUAGGGGGCUAGCGUUGUCCGGAAUCAUUGGGCGUAAAGAGCGUGUAGGCGGCCCGGUAAGUCCGCUGUGAAAGUCGGGGGCUCAACCCUCGAAUGCCGGUGGAUACUGUCGGGCUAGAGUGCGGAAGAGGCGAGUGGAAUUCCUGGUGUAGCGGUGAAAUGCGCAGAUAUCAGGAGGAACACCAGUGGCGAAGGCGACUACCUGGCCUGUUCUUGGCGCUGAGGCGCGAAAGCUAGGGGAGCAAACGGG